rnacentral:miRNA from 1 species
UCCACUGUUGCGUUUUUCAUACGUACGUAUGCGCACGUAAAACUUUAAAUUCGUUUAAAUGUUACUUAUGAAAAAAAAACAAAUAAAUAAAGCAACAGAAUUUAGUGUUCCGCACGUUUUAGUAUGCAUUUGUUAACUUAUUUGUAAAAUAUUUAAAAAAUAGAAGGAUUCAAAGUUUUACGUGCGUGUACGUGCGUACGAAAAACGCAACAGUGGA